CUACCAACUGACCGAUAGUGAACUAGUACCGUGAGGGAAAGGCGAAAAGAACCCCGGAGAGGGGAGUGAAAUAGAUCCUGAAACCGUAUGCGUACAAGCAGUAGGAGCAGACUUGUUCUGUGACUGCGUACCUUUUGUAUAAUGGGUCAGCGACUUAUUUUCAGUGGCAAGGUUAACCGUAUAGGGGAGCCGUAGGGAAACCGAGUCUUAAUAGGGCGUCUUAGUCGCUGGGAAUAGACCCGAAACCGGGCGAUCUAUCCAUGGCCAGGUUGAAGGUGCCGUAACAGGCACUGGAGGACCGAACCCACUAAUGUUGAAAAAUUAGGGGAUGAGCUGUGGAUCGGAGUGAAAGGCUAAUCAAGCCCGGAGAUAGCUGGUUCUCCUCGAAAGCUAUUUAGGUAGCGCCUCGUGUCUCACCAUUGGGGGUAGAGCACUGUUUCGGCUAGGGGGUCAUCCCGACUUACCAACCCGAUGCAAACUCCGAAUACCAAUGAGUGCAAUCACGGGAGACACACGGCGGGUGCUAACGUCCGUCGUGGAAAGGGAAACAACCCAGACCGCCAGUUAAGGUCCCAAAAUCAUAGCUCAGUGGGAAACGAUGUGGGAAGGCAUAGACAGCCAGGAGGUUGGCUUAGAAGCAGCCAUCCUUUAAAGAAAGCGUAAUAGCUCACUGGUCGAGUCGGCCUGCGCGGAAGAUUUAACGGGGCUAAGCUAUGCACCGAAGUUGCGGAUAUGUAUUAAUAUAUAUGGUAGGGGAGCGUUCUGUAAGCCGAUGAAGGUGUGUUGAGAAGCAUGCUGGAGGUAUCAGAAGUGCGAAUGCUGACAUGAGUAACGUAAAAUAAGUGAGAUUCUUAUUGGCCGAAAACCCAAGGAUUCCUACGCAAUGUUAAUCAACGUAGGGUAAGCCGGCACCUAAGGCGUAGCUGAAGAGCGAAGUCGAUGGACAACAGGUUAAUAUUCCUGUGCUGCUUAUAUGAAUGAUGGAGGGACGGAGAAGGCUAGGUAGGCCCGGCGAAUGGUUGUCCGGGUGAAAGUAAGUAGGUAGAUUUGUUAGGUAAAUCCGGCGAAUUGUUGAUCUGAGAUACGAGACGAAGUCAAAUUUAUUUGACGAAGCUAUUGAUGCCAUGCUUCCAGGAAAAUCUUCUAAGUAUAUUGUAUAAGUAACCGUACUGUAAACCGACACUGGUGGGUAGGUAGAGAAUACUAAGGCUAUGGGAGAACUAUGGUGAAGGAACUAGGCAAAAUGACACCGUAACUUUGGAAGAAGGUGUGCCCAUAUUAGGUGAAAGGACUUGCUCCUGGAGCUGAAGUGGGUUGCAAUUAUCAGGUGGCUGCGACUGUUUAUCAAAAACACAGCACUCUGCGAAAUCGUAAGAUGAAGUAUAGGGUGUGACGCCUGCCCGGUGCUGGAAGGUUAAUUGAAGAGGUUAGCGCAAGCGAAGCUUUGGAUCGAAGCCCCAGUAAACGGCGGCCGUAACUAUAACGGUCCUAAGGUAGCGAAAUUCCUUGUCGGGUAAGUUCCGACCUGCACGAAUGGCGUAACGACGGCCACACUGUCUCCACCAUAGACCCAGUGAAAUUGAAAUCGCAGUGAAGAUGCUGUGUACCCGCGGUUAGACGGAAAGACCCCGUGAACCUUUACUACAGCUUUGCACUGGACUUUGAAUAUUUAUGUGUAGGAUAGGUGGGAGACUAUGAAGCAGCGUCGCUAGAUGUUGUGGAGUCGACCUUGAAAUACCACCCUUGACUAUUUGAAGUUCUAACUCAGGAGAAAUUCGAGGACAGUGUAUGGUGGGUAGUUUGACUGGGGCGGUCUCCUCCCAAAGAGUAACG
rnacentral:rRNA from 1 species